rnacentral:rRNA from 1 species
GUGGGGAAUAUUGGACAAUGGGCGAAAGCCUGAUCCAGCCAUGCCGCGUGUGUGAAGAAGGUCUUCGGAUUGUAAAGCACUUUAAGUUGGGAGGAAGGGCAGUAAGUUAAUACCUUGCUGUUUUGACGUUACCAACAGAAUAAGCACCGGCUAACUUCGUGCCAGCAGCCGCGGUAAUACGAAGGGUGCAAGCGUUAAUCGGAAUUACUGGGCGUAAAGCGCGCGUAGGUGGUUCAGCAAGUUGGAGGUGAAAUCACCGGGCUCAACCUGGGAACUGCCUCCAAAACUACUGAGCUAGAGUACGGUAGAGGGUAGUGGAAUUUCCUGUGUAGCGGUGAAAUGCGUAGAUAUAGGAAGGAACACCAGUGGCGAAGGCGACUACCUGGACUGAUACUGACACUGAGGUGCGAAAGCGUGGGGAGCAAACAGGAUUAGAAACCCCUGUAGUCC